rnacentral:tRNA from 1 species
GCCUUCGUGGUGUAGUGGUCAGCACGCUCGGCGCGUAUUCGAGAGGUCCGUGGUUCGAGUCUCGGCGAGAACA